UACGUAGGAUCCGAGCGUUAUCCGGAUUUAUUGGGUUUAAAGGGAGCGUAGGCGGGUUGUUAAGUCAGUUGUGAAAGUUUGCGGCUCAACCGUAAAAUUGCAGUUGAUACUGGCAUCCUUGAGUACAGUAGAGGUAGGCGGAAUUCGUGGUGUAGCGGUGAAAUGCUUAGAUAUCACGAAGAACUCCGAUUGCGAAGGCAGCCUGCUGGACUGUAACUGACGCUGAUGCUCGAAAGUGUGGGUAUCAAACAGG
rnacentral:rRNA from 1 species